CCGCAGUCCUGGCCGAUGAGCCUCCGAAGGAUUGGCUACCCCCCAUGCUAGACCGAUUCGGUCCUGAGCCAUCAACCCUUCCCGGAAAGCACUGGAAGAUGUUGCAGCGCGGUUGGCGCGCCUUCUCUCCUCAUCAUCGUCGUCAUCUCUACGAAUAAGAUCGUAGUAGGCUUCAAGGCCGUAGGGCUCAGGGGACGGAUCAGUGACUUCGAGGACAUGAACGAUGAGGUUGUAGUCGAGGCAGUUCUUCCGUGGCGGUGAUGGCGGCUGUGUCGGUGACGCGGCAUUGGCCAUUUCGCUGUGAUGGCGAAUCCGGAACUUGCAGGCGGACCUCCUUGGGGAUCAAGUUUGGUUGAGCCGCCCAGGCCACGACCUCCAGUGACCUCGCAUCCGCCGGCGGCAGUAACUCCACCAAAUGGCAGCGCCACCCCGCGAGCAGGAUACGGACUGCAACUUCCUCCCAGGCGUGCGCCG
rnacentral:lncRNA from 1 species